GGGGCGCGGGGUGCGGGCAGGGCCGCCGCUCUCCCGGCUUCCCGCCUAGUGAGCGCACCUUGGACCCCUGCGGCUUUUCCGAGCCGAAACUCACGGGCUGUGGCCGGCUUCGUUUCGCGUCGUGCAGCUCCGCGACCGCCCGUGGCCACACCAGUCGGGGACUUCGUGCUUUACGAUGGGGGCGCAGCGGUCUGGCACGCGCAGGACCCCGGGCCUUGCACCCCAACGCUGGCCGCCCUGGACCCGCGGCGGGGACCCGCGCAGUCAGGGACGGACAGCGCCCACCCGGAGGAAAGCCUGACAGAUGAGACUUCGCAAGAGUGAGGAGAGACUGGCUAUUCUGCUCACGGUGUCCUUGGUCCCCGACCUCUGGAUGGCCAUGUCUCCGCCCCCCCACGGAGUCACCACCCAGCCUCACGAAUUCCUGGUCAUCUUGAAAAACCCAGUGCAGUGGUCAGGACCCCACAGGAUCUCAGGGGCUCUGCCAGAGCCCCGGCCCAGCGGUCAGGCCCCCACCAACUGUGGUCACGGUGCACCUCCGUCCCCGGCAUGGAGGGCCCUGACCCCCUACACCAGCCUGUUGGGCCCCUGGCAGGGUCUGCUGAGGCCUCUGCACCUGGCGCAGAGAGGUUGGGGGCAGAGACCUUGGGAGAGGCGCUCCCUGCCCCCUGCCCCCAGCUCCCACCUCUGCUUAGGAAGGGCAAACCCUGGGCUCUGACUCUUGCCCCAGCGUUGUGAGGCGACUCAGGGGCUGCCCCAGGGAAGCAGAGAGUGAUGGUGACUCAGGGGACCCCCAUGUCCUUGCCCAGAACUCCCCAGGGGUUCAGCCGACCUACUGCCACCAGUUCCCAGUGGAAGCCCCUCAGCCCCCAGGUGUGAGGGCAUGGGCAGUGGGGCAGGGCAGGAGCCUGGAUGAUGGUAUAUGGGGUGGGGCGGCCCCCAACUAUCUUGGCAUGUUGGCCUGAGGACAGCUGGGGCCUUCACCCUGUGCCAUGACCAUUCCAGCUUCUUGUAGCAGCACCUGCAUUUCCCUCUGGGCAGCCCCCUUUAUCCAUCCUCAGGUCAUGGGGAGCUUGGGUGGGGCUGACACUCCCCUGCCUAGGAGUUGGCAGAUGACCUGGGCGCGGCCAGCCAGACUGGACCCCUUAGCCUCGAGGCCUUUGCUGAAGCUCAUGUGAGGGGGCGACUGCCCCUGACAGGUGUUGGAUUCCAGCUGCUGUGGCCCUGAAGGUGGGUGGUGGGAAGAACGGGAGAAUGAAGCCAGCCUUGGGAGAGGUAGGACGCCAGCCCGGCCCAGCUGCUUCCAGCAUCUGGAUCCAGCCUCACCUGAAGCCAGCCACCUCCUGGACUGCAAAGUCAUUGUCAACACCGAAACACAGGGUUUCUGACCAUUGCAACCCAGGGUCCCGGCGUGUCGUGGCUGCAGACCCUGCAGACCCCUAUGAAGAUGGUCCUGCCUGCCUUGCAUCGGGCCUCUAGCUAGGGACUGUGGUUGCAGACGUAGUUCUGGGACUGAGCUCCUGGUGAGAGGCCAGUGGUGAGGGAAGAGAGACCAGCAGAGAAAAGAGUGGAGCCUCGGGCUGCUAGCAGAGUGGCAGAAACCGAGCCUGCGAGAGGAAAACAUUGUUUCCCGCGGCCUCCUGCUGAGCCAUGGGGACCCAGAUAUUGCGAAGUCCAGCUGGGGCCAACCCUAAGGAAGGAAGGAGGGAAGGGGACAGGGAGGGGUGAGGAGGAGAGGGAGGGAGUGACCUCUGCUUAGCACCUGCACUUGAGCAGCGGUGGCCUUUCACGCGCACACGCUUCCCCACCUGGAGCGCCGUCUCCAAUGCU
ensembl:lncRNA novel transcript